rnacentral:lncRNA from 1 species
AUACUUUGUUUAGCAAUCUGGAGAGGAGUUGGCCUUCUUUAUCUUCCCGUUUGAAACUAGAAGCUAGAAGUACUCAGUGGCUGUAAGCUUGAAGAGAAUUCAAAGAAGCCGCAAAGGAGAUUGAAGAAAGUAAAGCCCUCUUGUUUUUAACAACUCUGCCUUGCCCCUCACACAUUUCCAUGAAGAGGAGAAAGUCUUAUAGCAAUGGAGCUUCAGGACUGGGAUUAUACUCUUAGGAACCAAACUAACACUCUUGUCUGCUAAGAUUAUCUGCUGGAGGUGACAUAUUUUCUCCAAUUAGAAUAUUGUGAAUCCUUAAAAAGAAAGCAAUGGGUAUUAACAGCAAAGAACGCCAACUCUCUCUUGACAGUCAUCAAACCAUCGUUCUAUAAGGUGGGAUAGGAACAGAGGGGAAGGUGAGGAGACACAGUGGAUAGAGAACUGGACUUGAAGCUAAGAAAACUUGCAUUUGGGGUCUUUCUACCUCCACCUACACUGGUUGUGUCACCCUAGGGGGAAGAUGGACAAAAUUGACAGGGAGGAGGCAUGAACCAAGGAAAUUCCCUAAACUGAACAGGAGGAGGAGAAAUGCUGUCUUCGAUAGACAAAAUUCAGCCACAAUCAAGCUAAUUGAAUGCACAAAUGUAAUAUUUUUCUGGGGCACCUCCAAUUUAAUGCUUGAUGAAGUCGUGUCAUUCGCACGUAUUUACAAAAGCUUUUCUUCAUCCAGAAAUGUCUGUUGAAAUUGCUUACAGAUGCUGAGAUAGCAAAUCACUCUUCUAAUGUAAUGAGAUAAGUCAUCUCUAUAAACUUUGCUUGCUCAAAUGUACUCACAUAAAAGAAAUCAGGCUACAGGCUUUUUUUUCAAUAAAUAGAAUGAAUAACCAGAA